rnacentral:rRNA from 1 species
AUAGAGGCCUACCAUGGUGGUAACGGGUAACGGGGUGUUAGGGCACGACACCGGAGAGGGAGCCUGAGAAACGGCUACCACAUCCAAGGAUGGCAGCAGGCGCGCAAAUUACCCAAUCCCGACACGGGGAGGUAGUGACGAUAAAUAACAAUACGGGGUUCUUUAGGAUCUCGUAAUUGGAAUGAGUACAAUUUAAAUCUCUUAACGAGGAACAAUUGGAGGGCAAGUCUGGUGCCAGCAGCCGCGGUAAUUCCAGCUCCAAUAGCGUAUAUUAAAGUUGUUGCAGUUAAAAAGCUCGUAGUUGAAUUUCGGGGUUAGUAGGUUGGUCAUGCCUCUGGUAUGUACUGGUCUCACUGAUUCCUCCUUCCUUAUGAACCGUAAUGCCAUUAAUUUGGUGUUGCGGGGAAUUUGGACUGUUACUUUGAAAAAAUUAGAGUGUUUAAAGCAAGCUAACGCUUGAAUACAUUAGCAUGGAAUAAUGAAAUAGGACGUUCGAUCUUAUUUUGUUGGUUUCUAGGACUGACGUAAUGAUUAAUAGGGAUAGUUGGGGGCAUUAGUAUUCAAUUGUCAGAGGUGAAAUUCUUGGAUUUAUUGAAGGCUAACUACUGCGAAAGCAUUUGCCAAGGAUGUUUUCAUUAAUCAAGAACGAAAGUUAGGGGAUCGAAGACGAUCAGAUACCGUCGUAGUCUUAACCAUAAACUAUGCCGACUAGGGAUCGGAUG